rnacentral:lncRNA from 1 species
CGAGGUGAUAGAGGAACAUCAACUAUUGGCUCAUGAAUUACAGGUUCCUGAGGAUCUAAAGCUCUGGACUCUUCAAAGACCUUCUCUUCGAGCUCCACUAACCUCCCACUGUUGCCAUCCUGGAUAAAUUAUUUUUCUAAGAAUACAGUAUUUCGACUCACAAUCACAUUGUGAUCUUAUGAAAAGUAAAAGUAGUAUCCCAUGGAU